rnacentral:rRNA from 1 species
UACAGAGGGUGCGAGCGUUAAUCGGAAUUACUGGGCGUAAAGCGUGCGUAGACGGCUAUCUAAGUCGGGUGUGAAAGCCCCGGGCUCAACCUGGGAAUUGCAUUCGAGACUGAAUAGCUAGGGUGCGGUAGAGGGAAGCGGAAUUUCCGGUGUAGCGGUGAAAUGCGUAGAUAUCGGAAGGAACAUCAGUGGUGAAAGCGGCUUCCUGGACCAGCACCGACGUUCAGGCACGAAAGCGUGGGGAGCAAACAGG